rnacentral:rRNA from 1 species
GACGAACGCUGGCGGCGUGCUUAACACAUGCAAGUCGAACGAUGAAGCCGGAGCUUGCUCUGGUGAAUUAGUGGCGAACGGGUGAGUAACACGUGAGUAACCUGCCCUUGACUCUGGGAUAACUGCUAGAAAUGGUAGCUAAUACCGGAUACGACCCUCGGAGGCAUCUCCAGGGGGUGGAAAGAAUUUCGGUCAAGGAUGGACUCGCGGCCUAUCAGCUAGUUGGUGAGGUACCGGCUCACCAAGGCGACGACGGGUAGCCGGCCGGGGAGGGUGACCGGCCACACUGGGACUGAGACACGGCCCAGACUCCUACGGAAGGCAGCAGUGGGGAAUAUUGCACAAUGGGCGCAAGCCUGAUGCAGCAACGCCGCGUGAGGGAUGACGGCCUUCGGGUUGUAAACCUCUUUUAGUAGGGAAGAAGCGAAAGUGACGGUACCUGCAGAAAAAGCACCGGCUAACUACGUGCCAGCCGCCGCCGUAA